rnacentral:rRNA from 1 species
CCAAUAGCGUAUAUUAAAGUUGUUGCAGUUAAAAAGCUCGUAGUUGAAUUUCGGGACCAAUAUGUCGGUCGUGCUUCGGUACGUACUUGCAUUAUUGGUUUCUCCCUUCUGAAGAACCAUGAUGUCCUUAAUUUGGUGUCUUGGGGAAUCAGGACUGUUACUUUGAAAAAAUUAGAGUGUUUAAAGCAGGCUCACGCUUGAAUACAUCAGCAUGGAAUAAUGAAAUAGGACGUUUGAUUCUAUUUUGUUGGUUUCUAGGAUCGACGUAAUGAUUAAUAGGGAUAGUUGGGGGCAUUAGUAAUCAAUUGUCAGAGGUGAAAUUCUUGGAUUUAUUGAAGACUAACUACUGCGAAAGCAUUUGCCAAGGAUGUUUUCAUUAAUCAAGAACGAAAGUUGGGGGAUCGAAGACGAUCAGAUACCGUCGUAGUCUUAACCAUAAACUAUGCCGACUAGGGAUCGGAUGAUGUUAUUUUUGAUGACUCAUUCGGCGCCUUACG